CACGAAAAAGCCUGAGAUCAACGAGAUAUUUGAGAGAAAAAGAAAAGAGGAUCCAAAAUCCACACGAGAGAUUGUGAAAGAGAUUCAAGAGCUUUCAAAGAGAGGAUCUUUCGAGCCUAUUGUUCAACCUUGAUCUAGAGAUCUUCCAAAGUUUUCAAGAGAUCUUCAAUCAACAAUCAACCUCUUCUCAAGCAUUCGUUCAAGCGUUCAUCCACUUUGAGAAAAUCCGAAAAGGGGUUCUUAAUUUGAGUAAAGUUUUUAUUGU
rnacentral:lncRNA from 1 species